rnacentral:rRNA from 1 species
CCUACGGGAGGCAGCAGUGAGGAAUAUUGGUCAAUGGACGGAAGUCUGAACCAGCCAAGUCGCGUGAAGGAUGAAGGUUCUAUGGAUUGUAAACUUCUUUUGUCUGAGGGUAAAGUGUGUUACGUGUAGCAUAUUGCAAGUAUCAGACGAAUAAGCAUCGGCUAACUCCGUGCCAGCAGCCGCGGUAAU